rnacentral:rRNA from 1 species
GUAACAGGAAGAAGCUUGCUUCUUUGCUGACGAGUGGCGGACGGGUGAGUAAUGUCUGGGAAACUGCCUGAUGGAGGGGGAUAACUACUGGAAACGGUAGCUAAUACCGCAUAACGUCGCAAGACCAAAGAGGGGGACCUUCGGGCCUCUUGCCAUCGGAUGUGCCCAGAUGGGAUUAGCUAGUAGGUGGGGUAACGGCUCACCUAGGCGACGAUCCCUAGCUGGUCUGAGAGGAUGACCAGCCACACUGGAACUGAGACACGGUCCAGACUCCUACGGGAGGCAGCAGUGGGGAAUAUUGCACAAUGGGCGCAAGCCUGAUGCAGCCAUGCCGCGUGUAUGAAGAAGGCCUUCGGGUUGUAAAGUACUUUCAGCGGGGAGGAAGGGAGUAAAGUUAAUACCUUUGCUCAUUGACGUUACCCGCAGAAGAAGCACCGGCUAACUCCGUGCCAGCAGCCGCGGUAAUACGGAGGGUGCAAGCGUUAAUCGGAAUUACUGGGCGUAAAGCGCACGCAGGCGGUUUGUUAAGUCAGAUGUGAAAUCCCCGGGCUCAACCUGGGAACUGCAUCUGAUACUGGCAAGCUUGAGUCUCGUAGAGGGGGGUAGAAUUCCAGGUGUAGCG